UACGUAGGGGCUAGCGUUAUCCGGAAUUACUGGGCGUAAAGGGUGCGCAGGUGGUUUCUUAAGUCAGAGGUGAAAGGCUACGGCUCAACCGUAGUAAGCCUUUGAAACUGGGAAACUUGAGUGCAGGAGAGGAGAGUGGAAUUCCUAGUGUAGCGGUGAAAUGCGUAGGUAUUAGGAGGAACACCAGUUGCGAAGGCGGCUCUCUGGACUGUAACUGACACUGAGGCACGAAAGCGUGGGGAGCAAACAGGAUUAGAUACCCCUGUAGUCCCUGAGCGGG
rnacentral:rRNA from 1 species